UACGUAGGGUGCGAGCGUUGUCCGGAAUUAUUGGGCGUAAAGAGCUCGUAGGCGGUGUGUCACGUCGGCCGUGAAAACCUGCAGCUUAACUGUGGGCGUGCGGUCGAUACGGGCAUCACUGGAGUUCGGCAGGGGAGACUGGAAUUCCUGGUGUAGCGGUGAAAUGCGCAGAUAUCAGGAGGAACACCGGUGGCGAAGGCGGGUCUCUGGGCAUCUCCUGACGCUGAGGCGCGAAAGCGUGGGGAGCGAACAGG
rnacentral:rRNA from 1 species